rnacentral:misc_RNA from 1 species
GUCAUGCACCACUGAUGCGGUGAUGCUACCGACUAUCACUUCCCAUCCACCGCUGUAAAUGGUGAAGUGAGGCAUCAUAUUUCUCAGUCAAUCAACGAUACCCACCUUUUGCUUCUAUGAGGAUUACCAUCGGUUUUCUAACUGUGCAUUACAGCCCGCAUGACAUAAAAGUGAGGUUACUGCAUUAAGCAAGUCGCUUGCUGCAAGUUCGAUCGACAAAGUACUCAAAGGAAAGACUAUGAAGAAUCUACCAAAUAUUUUGGAGGGUACUAUCUUCAACCAGUCUUUUCAUUCUGACGUAACAAGUAAUGAAUCACAUGAAGUCUAAGUCCAUCUUAGUGUUCACUUUCUUCCACAUUAGAGAAAAGAUUUGAGCCUUCUACUUGAAUACGUAUGCUAUAACACUACUAGACAACACUCUUGUACAAAGAAGUAACGUAGACCAAAAGUCGUCUUUUACUAUUGGAAUAAGAUCAUGAAUGUCAAAUACUACAUAUGCAGAAGAUGGUCCAGAGUGUGCGUAGAGGUAGUUGUGCUUUUUCCUGAUUAUUAUUGUUGAUGUCAUUUGAAGGUCUGAGAAUUCG